CAGUGCAGAGCCUGCCCCUUGUGGGGCUCGAACUCACCAACCGAGAGAUCAAGACCUGAGCUGAAAUUCAGAGUCUGACACUCAACCCACUGAGCCACCCCGGUGCCCCUAAUCAAAUAAUUUUGAUCUUAAACAAGUUAAACAUGUUUGUGUACCCAUUUCUUUACUUAUGUGUAUAUGCAUAAAUUGUGCCCUAUCUUUUUUAAAAAACACCACAACCAAAAAUACUGGAUGGUAUUUUUGUGAAAUAUUUGUUUGCUUAUUAAACCUAUAUCAAUUUAAUUAUAAUGGAAGUAUAUAUGUACUAACAGAAUAAGAAAGAGAUGAAAUAAGUAGAAUUUGUCCAAUGAAGAUUAACAUUGAUAAAGCAGAAUGCUCAGUUUCAAUUGCACAAAAUCUUUCAAUUGUCUUAGACUGUAGUAUUAUUCAUAUAAAGAGAAAAGGGAAGAAAAUGUCUAUUUGUGUCAGCCAGGGAAGUAAGAACUUUCCAUACAUUACUUACUUUUGAUUUUUAAAUUACAUUUACUUUUUACUUCUAUUUCUUACAAACCUUAAUGAUGAGGACUAAUAUAUACCACUUAGUAUGUAAAUCGCCCAUAUAUUUUAAACUAUUAUCCAUUUUAUACUUACUGACAAAAUUUUGGAGUACUGAAUUUGACGAUAUUAAUAACCUUUAACGUUUUGUAGGGGGCGCCGGAGGCUCAGGUGAAAGAGCAUGUGACUCCUGAUCUCCAGAUUGUGAGUUUGAGGCCCACGUUGGGUGUAAAUGAAAAAUAAAUAAACUUAAAAUUCUGUUAAUAACAAAACAUAUGGCAAAUUCAAAAAGGAAGAAAGCAGGGAAAGAUUAUUCACAUCUCUCGAUAAUCCUUCUGUUCUGCAACCUAUUUUCUGACAAGAGUUGCCUAUAUAGUAGUUCCCCUCUUAUCCGCAGUUUCGCUAUCUGUGAUUUCAUUUUCCCCACGGCAAACCGCGGGGAGGAAGCAGAUGAUCCUGACGAAUCAUCAGAAGGUGAAUAGUAGACUAGCUACGUCACAGCGCCUGCGUCACUCACCUCUCUUCAUCCCAUUACGUAGGCAGUUUCACAUCUCACAACGUCACAAGAAGGCUUUCACUGCAUCUUUGGUGGAACAGUGUGACCUGAAGCUCUUCACAGCAGAUAUCAUCAUGUAAUACUUACUCUUUCGUGGUCCUCCAUGGAGUAAGAGAAGUAUCUCUUCCCAGUGAUUCCUCAGUUUUCCUUUUCUUCUGAUAUCUAGAUUCUGACAAGAUAUUUGAGUUGGGGCAAGCCAACACUGUUUCUUGAGCUUAGCACCUCAUUGCUGAUCAACCGUGAACGAUCACAUUCAUCAAAAUUACUCCACGGAGGUGAAGGCUCCAUGGACCACCUGAUCAGUGUGCAUCCAAGGACCUGGGCACCUACCUUUCUCUACGCUACUGUUUCCACCUGGAGGAUGUGGAUGUUGAGAGCAUGGGCCAUUUUUUUCCGCCAGAGGGUGCCACGUGUCCCUUGACCUUAACAAACCAGCUCCGUGGCUGUGCUCUCUUUCAGGACAGUCAGAAACCGCGGACAUCAUGGAAGCCACCAUGGCCCUGGACGGAGAAGGACCUGAAGCUGCAUGUACUGAACUGUGCAUGUCCUGCCUGUCCCCGGGCAGACCCCCAUCUCUGUGACUUCCUGGAGAACCACUUCCUGGAUGAGGAGAGGAAACUGUUCAAGAAGAGGGGCAACAACUUGACUGUGCAGGCUGGCUGGCCUCCAGGCGGGGCUGGGUGAGUGUCUCUUGGAAAGGCUCACCCUCAGUCGCCACUGGGAACCUCUGGAGCCCCACGGUGUCAGGGCUUUUGCCUGAGCCUAUCCCUGCAGUCACUAGGAGGCUUUUCAACCACUCUGGAACCUUCUUCAAAGCUGCGGACCAAAUGGAGACAAUAAAAUUUUGUGCAGAAAAAAAGAAAAAUUCUGGCUUAUUGGUGGAUUGUUGCAGUUGAAACCCGCAUUAUUCAAGGGCCAACUUAUAUUUGUUUAUAUGUCUCAUUUGAACUCGUUGAAGGCAAGAACUAUCUUCAAUUACUAGUGUGGGUGCAGGGUAAUUUGAGUCCAUAAUUGAGAUAUGCGUUGAGUUGGUCAGAGUGGACAGAAAAGGUGGGUAAAGGAGACCUGAUGAAGAAACGAUUAAUUAUGCUCCAAUGAUUGAAGCUGGCACUGGAGAAGCAAAGUGAAUAGUAGAGAUGAUUCUAGGAUUUUAAGAGCUUGGGGAGCUGAGAAAACAAUGACUAUUAAAAAAUGUUUUUUUAAUUAACUUAUUUUGAGAGAGAGAGAGUGUGCACACAUGCGUGAGAGCGAGGUGGGAGGGACAAAGAGAGAAGGAGAGAGAAUCCCAAGCAGACUUUUUGCUGUCCGGGCAUAGCCUGACACGGGGCUCGAUCCUACCAAUAGUGAGACCAUGACCCCAGUGGAAAUCCAGAGCCAGGAGCUUAACCGGCUGAGCCACCCAGGUGCCCCUAAAAGGAUGACACUAUUAACAGAAGAAAGGACAUCAGCAAAGAAUGAGUUUUGGAGAUGAAAUGGAAAUACAUGUUAUACAUUAAAUGUGACACAAGAGAUAUGAAUUAUGCAGUCAACUCGGUAUGUGCUGAUGAGCACAAAGCCCAAGGCACGUUCCGUCGAGUUUCUAUGAAGAUCCAUAAUGAGUUUCAAGUACAUCAUUUCCUGAUGGAGGAUAAGAAAACAUCCAUCAAUGCAAAUUUUUGCACAUUUUUUCAGCUUUUAUGAAUACUUUACAACUUCUAAAAAGAGUGAAUUUCGAAAGUGCAACUUGAGCAAAUUCUAUGAGUAAUUUUAUAUUCUACUGUUUAGGCUCAGUGGAAGCUUCGAAGUGAAAAUACAGUACAGAGAUUUAAAAAAAAUAUAUAUAUAACCAUAAUGAGGAUGGAGGAAAUGGGAAAAAGUAGAAUAUGUCAGUGCUGGAAAGCAGAUGGUUGAGUGAUAAUUGAUUUGACAGACCCGAAAAAGCCAACCCUUGAAAUGUGGAAAGCUCAGACCCAAUGAGAUGUAGAAUCUUUGAAAGUUCAGACAUGUUCAGAACCAGGAAGCUAGCCUGAACAGAAUGAGACCAUGCUGACACCUUCAUCUUGAACUUUUAGGCUUCAGAACUGUGAGCAAUAAACUUCUCUUGUUUAUAAUCCACCCAGUGUCUGACAUUUUGUAUAGCAGCCCAAACAGACUAAGACAGCAUCAAUUUUCCCCCAUUUUUUUAUUAGAGUCUCUGUAAUUUUUUUUUUGUGUGUAAAUUUUUUUAAAAAUAUUCUGGAUAUGAGCGUUUUAAAAAAGUUAUUUGUGUUAUAAAUGCCUUCCCCAACUUCAUGGUGGGUUUUUACACUCCUAACAGAAUAGAAUUUUUUUAAUGAAUGUAUUUUCUUUAAUUGAUGUCAUUGAUCAAAUUUCAUUUAACACUGGUAUUUUUGUGUUCUAUUUAAAAGAAAUUUUCCCCCAGUUCAAAAUCUUGAAAAUACUCCACCUUUCAUUUUAAACACUUGUUUUGCUCUUGAAAUUUGUCUAUAAUCAUUUGAAAUUAUGUUUUAAAACAUAUAUGCUUAGCUGUUAAGCUAGCUGUCAAGUUUUGAUUGUUCUCCAUAUGAAAUUUAAUUGAUCCAGAACCAUUAACUGAAGACACCAGUCUUUCCACACUGCUCUGCAAUGCUAAUUUUCUAAGUAUCCAUUUAUAUAUAUGUGUGUGUGUGUGUCGGGGGGGCGGUUUCUGUUCGAUUGGCCUGUUGUCUACCCUUGGACCAGUACCACACUGCCUUCAUACUACUGCAUGAUAAGUCUCACUACCUGGUAGGACAAGUUACCUCCUCUUGUGUUCCAUUCCUGCCACCUGGGUAAGCUGAGGGUGCUCAUUUCACUGCCUGUCCAGUUAUGAUCUACUCCUCUUCUGAGAACUGGAAGUAGGCCAUGACUAACUGGGAAAGGGAAAUAACUGCCUCCCACCCACAUUCUUGCUUGAUGUACAGUACUAGGCCCAUGCUACAUCUUUGCAAGAGAUCCUAAAUGUGAUGAAGUCCUUUUCUCCCCAGAUCUUACAGCCUUGCCCAAGAUUUCCCCAGGAAGGUUCUUGUAAACUCUCAGGGGAACUAAAGUCAGGGCAUGACCUAGAGUCUUUCCACUUAUCCUCUCCUCAGAAACCAUAGUCGUAUUAAUAGUGCUCUUUCCUGGUGUAGCUGGCUUGAGCUUCCUACUCAGUUUUUAUAAUCAUUACCUGGUGAAUUUUUUUUUCAACUGUUUGUUUUUCCUGUUCCUUUUCUUCUUACUCUUCCUCGUCCUCCUCCUCGUCCUCCUCCUCCACCUCCACUUCCAUCCUCCUCCUCCUCCUCCUCCCCCUCCUCCUCCUCCUCCUCCUUCUUCUUCUGUUAUCUGUGUAUAGAUACUGUUCGUGUUUCAUUAUUAUAAUUAUGAUGAUUAAUCUUUAAAUGAGAUGGAUUCUUUCUGGACCAGCUCUUUGCAAAUUUGUGAACAGUCCAGGGCAGUUUUCUGGGCUAUCAUUACUCUCCCUGGUUAUUAUGAAAUUUCCUUAUGGCACAAGUUCAUACCGCUGAAUGAGUUCUUUUAAAUUUAUUUUUCCCUCAUUGAAGGAGAUCUGCAGAUGCAUGGUUGCUCACUAUCCGGAGCCCCUCUCCUCAUAGUUUACUUCCUGGCAGUUGGUCUUCAGCGGUGACCAAGUGUCUAAACAUUCUUUGUUCAGCUCCAGAUUUUUGCUUUUCCACUUUGCUGGAUGUGAUUCUAGGAAGCUCCUUCCACCUAAGUUUGUCAUUCAAGAAAAGGGAUUGUUGGAUUCACUUUUAAGCCUUGAUCACUUGCUUUGGUAACUGUGCUCUGUAGGUUUUCUCCCAAACCUGCAGCCACAGAUGUCUCUUCCUGAUAUCUUCCCACAUGUCUGUUAGAUCUUUGCUGACUUUCCCCAUAUGGUGUAGCUUGGGGUUACAGCAUCUCACUGUCUCACCAGUGAUGGCAUUUACAUUUCAGGUUCACGUUUUUGUUGUUGUUUUAAAGUGAUUACUAAGGGAGAGAGGGAGCAUAAAUGUCUUUUUUUUCUGCUAUCUCAAAGAUUGAAGCUGAUACUUUAUUAGAAGAUAUACUCUGCUUGUCUUGUCCUCUGCUUCUCACAAACAUGUUGUCUCUGCUCUAGUCCAGCAAUGUUCAGUACAGCUUCUACAAUGAUGGAAAUGUUCUCUAUAUGCGCUGUCCACUAUAGAUAGCUGACAGUCCCAUGUGGCUACUGAACACUUGGAAUGUGGCCAGUGUGAUGGUAGAAUGGAAUUUUAAAUCUUAUUUAAAUUAAUUUAUUUAAAAUUAAUCAGCUAAACCCUAGUUCUUUAGGUUUCCCUAAAUGUGUGUGCUUUUAGAAGGCAUAUAUCUAAGGUUAAUUUUUUCCUUCUACCUGUCAUAUCUUUUCCCUAUAGCAAAGAUCAUAGAACCCACAACUGCUUGAAAGUAAAAGGAAAAAUGCUAGGAAGAAAAGAAGUAGGCCAACAUCUCAGAAAUCUUAUCCUCCAUUAACUGGCAUCUGAAUUUCCUGUUUUGAUGAAGUCAAAGGCCAAGAAUUAGUUGGAGGCAUCCGGCAGCUUAUCUGGAUCCAGAUGUGCAGCACCUUUUAGUCUCAGCUAUCACCUUUGAUACCUAAGGCAAAUGCCAAUGCAGCAUUCUUUAGAAUUUCUAAUUAGCUAUGAAGAAAAAAAAAUUAUGGCUGGGCUCCUAGGUCUACAGGGGCACAAAACAAAGAGGAGAUAAGAUAUGGAGGAUUAAAUGUGUUCUUAGUCCCAGGGAGUGGAUGUCCCAUAAAACCUCCAUGCCUUGGCCACCACUUAUAUCUCCAGCGUCUUGCAAAUUCUCCUUUUGUUCUUUGUGAUCUGGACUCCUCUCAGACUCCAAGAAUGUGCUGUGUCCCUGCUCACUACAGUACUUGUACAUAUCUUGUUCCCUAUGUUCAGAAGCCCCGCUAUCCCUUUGCCAUCUUUCACUUUUAACCUCUACUCAUUCCUCAAAUCAAGAAUAUUUUCCUCAAGGAAGCCUUCUUUGACUCCUUAAUCUAGGUCACUUGCACCUUGAUCAGUAAAGUGAUUUAGAUAUCUUCCCCAGAGAGGUCACAGUAUUUUUGAAUUAGAACCACAGUUGGGAAUACAUUAGCUCCCACUCUCCAUCCCUAAGAUGCAUAGAUGUAUAGUGUUUAUCUUUUUAAGGUUCUUGAAUGAAUGGUCUGUUUUCAGAGUGGUCAUCCAGAAGCAUAGGAUGAAACUUCCUAUUUGCAUCCUGUGCUGUGAACUAUUGCCUUGAUGCAAAGAAAUUAUAUAGGUCCUCCUCUCAGGUAUCAAUAAGACAUUGAGCCCACCCUCUAGGUGAUUUGCAACUGGACCUCCAGGCUUUUUAGUUGUAACGUAAAAAAUGGAUAACUAUUUUCAUUCAUAGAACUCACAGGGUUUUAAACAUAGACAUUUUCUAGAAAUGCAAGGUGGAAUCAUAACAAAUCAUGGUAAAAUUUUUUUGAAGGGGGAAAUGUAGUGCUUUUACCUAAUGAAUAAAAUUACUUUCCAGUUUGCUGACCUACAAAGUACGUUCAUUGCUCUCUACCAAUUUAGUGCUUUGCAAUUAAUGGAGGUAGGGCUGGAUAGUGGAUGAACUGAAAGAAAGAGAAUGAAAAAAAGGAAAAAUAAGAGAGAGAGAUUGGUUUAGUAUAGAGUGAAGGAAAUCCCUAAGACUAAUUUUCUCAAUACAAGAGAGCUUGUAAAAGCAAUUUCCCCCUUUCAGAAACUACACUGAUUAUGCUGAGUCAGGCAAAUGCUAGGUUAAUAUCUAAGCUGUUUUGUUCUGUUGUCUGGGAGGCUCAUAGAAUUAUUUAUUGACAAAGGGGACUUACUGACCAAAUAACAUGACUUCUUUGAGUUUUCCAAUAUAUCUGGAGUGAGUUGUUCAUUAGCAAGGACUAGUGUGAAAGGCCACUAAUUGUUACUUCCUAAUUGGAGUUAACUCAGGCUAGAUUAGGGGAAAGGAGGAUAAUGAGAAGUCAGCUGGGAUAUUAGGCUAUUUCUAAAUGAUGUGAGUCAAAUCAGCUUUAUGUUUUCCUUACAAUAAGACUCAAUUUAAUUUUAAAUUUAUAAAUGCACUAAAAUUUCCUGCACUUUGGUUGUACAAUGAUUUAUAUUAACUUACCAGGAACAGAUCCACAAAAAGAUCCAAAUGUCAAUAACGUUAUCAACCCAUAAAUGUGGAAUUCUCAACUCCUUCACGUAGGUGGUGACCCAGAGGAAAGUAGCACUGGAAGGGGUACCUAUUUACAGAUGGGAACGUGGUCUGAGAGUCCUUAGAGAUGACUAAUAUAAAUCAGUCAUGUAAUUGUUCCAAAGUAGCCUGAAAAUAAAAUGAAAUUCAGAUGAAGUCAUUAUGCAGGCCUAACAGCCUUCUGAGAGUCAAGGCCUGAGGCUAAGAAAAUAAAAAUGGACCUUAUUUGUAUUUAACCAACAAAUGAAUUAAUUAGCUCCUUAAAAAGCUUUAAAAAUGUCAUAUUUAAGUAGUCUUGCUCAGUUAGAUUGGAGAGGCUACUUUUGUGAGUCAAUCACCAUCAAUAUCCAGUGAAAGUGGUGGUUCGGUAUAGUACACAUAGAAUUUUUUUCUAUUUCUUUCUCUUCACCUGCCUGAGCACUUGCUGUCCUAUGUUCUUCAGUGAAGGAUACAUAAUCAUAUGGCUAGGUGUGGCUUCUCUUUUUUGGGUGAUCAGUGGCCCCUUAUUUGAUGGCUUUGGCAGAGGAGUGAUGGAAAAACCUAACAUUGGUGAUCUCAAAGAGCUGGGCAAAAAAGCUCACAAACUCACAGGAGGGAUCUCCGAGAGUCUCUUGGUCUGACUCAGAAAUAUGAACUUGGUCAUUUAUUGUCGCAGAUGCAAUGUCAUUAACAUGUGUCAAUAAGAUAGCAUACCCACAAGAUAGGAUUUCUUUGUUUUAAUUGUGAAUUUUGCUACAAGAGCAGAGAAUGAUACUCCCAAGUAAUGUACCUUGAACUAAAGAUUUGUUCUUAUGUUGAACUAAAAUUUACAGUAAGUCUAACAUAUGUAAUGAAAUUUAUAAACACUUUGGUAUCACCUUAUAAAUAAGCAUAGAUUGAAAGCUUUGUGCAUCUCACCUUUGAAUCUGAGGGUCUGUGUGGCUGUGUUCUGAUACCCUUGCCUUCUCUCAGGCUCAGAGAAGGUAACCUUUUUGCCUGAGAAUACAGUGCUAGUAAAGAUUCACACCUCUUCUCUUGAGUUUGGAAAUACAUGUUUGUAAUUACAAUAUAAGAUUUUUGCCCUUUGGAUGGGACAUUGAAUGAGAAUUUCUAUAAUUCUUUUAAAAUCUAAUAAUAAAAUUGCAAUAAUUUUAUAUGAAUUUUUAUUGUGUAAGUUUCUCUUCAGAAACCACAAAAUUCUCCCAGUAACCUGUUUUGUUUCAUCCUCACUUCUGACAUUGCUACCACCCAGGAAUACUCAAAUGUAUUUUAUUUUGGUAAAAUAUUUAUAUUAUUCGCAAUGGUGGUUACUUUGACCUCAACCACUUUUUUUUUUUACAACUUGAAAUGUGAACUCUUUUUUCUUUCAGCAUUAAAAAUCCAUCUUACAAAUCUCCUCUUCAGAGUCUCUACCCCAAGUGAGUGUUUUGAGCAGAUCUCAUGCUCCCCUUUUCUUCUCUCCCACCUUAAUCUAUAGAUUUUUCAGGAUGCUGGAGCAUUUAAAGUAGAGGAAAAGUGGUGUGGUGAGGUGAGAAGUAGAGAAGUUACCACAUAAAGACUCAAAGCAAGGGAAGAAGAAAGAUGCCAGGCAGGGAUGGAACCAGAGGAGGGGAGAGCUAACACGAAACGGGAGAGCUGGAGAAUGUGGGGCCUGACGAUGGGAGAGGAGUGAGGAGUUCAGGUUUGUUCCAGGAAAGGAUUUAGGGAGACUCACUUUGUGGUUCAGCUUAUUUGGUUCUCUAGAAGAAGCAAAGUGCACAUAUUUUGUGUGUUUUUUUGGAGUCAGGAAAGAAUGCCUUACUUCUCAGCAGCAGUACUUUCUCCCGCCAUCCCCCUCCUCAUCCCCAUCCUAGAUCCUUUUAAAAGAAACCAAAGAUUUUCAUUUCACAAAGGUAAAAGUCCCAAACUCACUGGGAAGAGUUAACAUGGACGGGAAGGUAAAUGUAGGCAUCAGAUCCUUUCUGGUUUUGAUAGAGGCUGGGAUCUCUGGGAACCAAAUAGUACAGGUCUCCUGAAGUGAGGGGGCUGGAGCAGAAAGGGUAAGACUGGUUAUCAAAGACAAAACCCUGAUUUUAUGAUUUGCUUGUGCGUGUGGUGGGGAGAGGCUCAAGUAUUACUUUCAUACCACCACUGAUUUAUUUUCCUCUAGAAACAUGCGAAAAAGAAAAAAAGGAAAAGAAAAAAGAAAAGGAAAGAAAACCUUUUCUGGUCAAAUGGUGCACAAACAUUCUAGCUAUUUGAUUGCUGGUUUAUAGAAUGUAGCUGACAGAAUGGCAUGAGAUUUAGAGUCUGUGUUAACCUGAAACCAAGCAUAGAUGAUCAUCCUGGUUUUUGGUGCAGGUUUCUAGACAGAAACGGCAGGCCUAACAGUGCUGGUACCUAAGGCAGGCAAGAGACAAAGAAGCUACUUCUAACUUUUUGUUAGAACUUGCCUUGUUUGGUUUCUGCUGAAGAAUGACAUUUUGAGUUUCCUCAGGAAAUGUCAUACUACUGUGGGUUUUGUUUUGUUUUGUUUUGCAAAUGCUUAGGAUGUGCAAACAUGAGACAGCAGCGGGUCCUUCUGGUUCCUGAUUGUAACACAUCCUGGGCAACCAGGCAAAGCAUUGUGGCUACUGUGGCAUCAUGGUCACAUCCUUCUUUAAAUAGCUUCCGUUCCUGUUUCACGGGAUUGGAAACGAACUCAAUUUGAAUACUUCAGGCACAGCAAGUGGGAAGUGGUAAAUUAAGAAAAAUAAAUCAUGAUGAUAAUGAAUUUAUUCAGCUGUGAGCCUAGCUCUGGAGAGAGUUGUGGGUUAUGGAGUGCCUAAUACCUGAGACUGUGAUUUAAUUAAAAUGUUUAACUUUUUAUUUUGAAAUAAUUCUAGACUUACAAGAAUGUGGCAAAAAUGGUGUGAAGAAUUCCUGUAUGCCCUUUACCUAUCUUCUCAAAAUUAUAUAAUUCACAUUGAUUAAUUCAAUUUAGUCCUCGUCAGAUCUUAUUUGGAUUUGCUGAUUGUCUCUGGUCCAGUAUCUAGUCCAGGAUUGUACCUCACAUAUAGUUGCUGAAUAAUGACUUUUAAAGAUUGUUGUACCACCUACACUUUAAAAAAAAAAUUAGGAACCUUUACUAUAAUGAUGUCAUAAUUUCAAGACUAGUUGAGUAAAAAUGUCCAAGCCUGUUGAUUGUGAAUUUGAAUAACUGCUCUGAUGUACUCAUUCUAGGUACAAUAGCAAGAAAAAAAGUCAGAAUUUCCCCAACCACAUUUACUUCUCACCCAUUUUAAAUGGGAAGUGUUGUUAAUAGUCUUAGAAGCAUUUUGCAAGGCCAGCACUUCCCAUGGUCAUUGGGGUCAGAAGCCAAAUUAGAAUUGUCUCCUAUUUUUAAUCCAAUUGACAUGAGUUCCAAUAUUAUUACCUGAUUUCUAUCUUUAGCCAAAGUUAGCCAAAAUUUAUGCAAAAAGCUUUUUAAUCAUUUUUGCUUUGACAUACCAACUGUUGAAUUCUUACCCUAAAGCAAUAUACUUGUGAUUUUUUGAUGCCAAUUUUGUCAAUAUCACCGAAUAGUUAAUAUUUUGAAAAGUAGAUGAAUGGUUCCAGCCUCAAAGAGCUUAACUCAUAGAAAGAGUACAUAUUUUUCUAAAAAUAUAAAAAGGCGUGCAUAUUAGAUUUAUAUAUAUUUUUAUAUAAAUCAUAUAUGUACAUGAUUUAUCAUAAGGAAUUGGCUCCCAAGGCUGUGGAGUCCUAAGAUGUGCAGCCAGCAAGCUGGAGACCCAGGAGAGAUGAUGUAUAGCUCUAGUCUGGGUCUGAACACUUGAGGACAAGGAGAGCAGAAGAUAUAAGUUCCAAUCCAAAAACUGGCAAGCUUGAGACCUAAGAAGAGCCGAUGUUUCAGAAGGCCCGAAAACCAUCAUGUCCCAGCUUCAGUAGUCAUGGAGGAAGAGUUUCUUCUUUCCCAGUCUUUUGUUCUAUUCAGGUGUUCAAUAGAUUGGUUGAGGCCCAUUCAUGUUAGGGAGAGCAAUCUGCUUCGCUCAGUCUACUGAUCUAAUCCAGUCUACUAAUCUUAUCCAGAAACACAUCUUUACAGAGAGAACAAUGUUUGACCAGAUGUUGGGCAUCCUGUGACCCACUCAAGUUGACACAUAAAAUUAGCUAUCGCAGUGUAGAAUUAGUAUAGGAAUAUGGAACAGGGAGGCCAUUGUGGGUUGGAGUAGUGAACUUGACCUGAGUCUUAAAGUGUGGGCAGUAUCAGACAGUGGAAGUGCUUGGAGGUAGGAGAAGAGUUUGAGUAAAUAGAAGAUGUUUAAAAAACAACAGACAAACACAAAAAACAUCAGGAAAACAGAAAUAAGGCAGCAAGUAUCAUCUGUUAUACAGUGCAAUUUCAGAAUGAUUAACUGAAACAUGAUGUGAGUUAAUGUUAGGGUACCCUGCUAAGCUCUACCCUGAGAAAUGAACUAAAAAGACUGAAGAUUUUGAAGGUCAGUCUGGUAGAAGUAUUAGUAUGAAUUUGAGUGGACUGAGGAAUAGAAACUGGUUAGGAGGCAGCUAUAAAAACAAUUCAAGCAAGGGGCAUCUGGUGGUUCAGUCGGUUAAGUGUCCGACUUCACUUCAGGUAAUGAUCCCACGGUUUGUGAGUUUGAGCCCUGCAUUGGGCUCUGUCCUGACAGUUCAGAGCCUGGAGCUUGCUUUGGAUUUUGUGUCUCUCUCUCUCUGCCCCUCUGCUGCUCAUGAUCUGUCUGUCUGUCUCUCUCUCUCUUAAAAGUAAAUAAACAUUAAAAAAAAUAAUUCAGGUGAGGGAUGAUAAUAUCUUAGAAGGGAAGACGGUGACUAAGGAAAAAAAAGAAAUCUAAGAAAAAUUAGCAGCAAAUGGAAUAAAGAAGAAAAGGGGAAAAAAGGAGCCCCAAAUCCUAAUUCCCACUAUUUACUUAUUGUUUACUGUGUACUAGAGGCAGGUGCUAAGACUUUAACCUCAAUUACAUUGCAAUCACCUUUGUCAAGUGUCCCUAGUCUCUACAGAGUAAAACCUAAACUCUUAGUUGCAUGGCACACAGCCCUUUGUGUGUAGACUUUGUUUAACUGGUUAAACUCAUCUCUGUCCAGUAAGUCAGUAGGUUUCAACCUUUGGAUUUAUUUGUAGUUACAUGCACUGGGUAACUUCUCUCAAGAUUCUGUUUCUUUGCUAUUAUGGAAACUUCUGGUUUAUUCCCUUGAAAAGUUACUUACCUUUCCAAAUUGAGUGUAAAUGCUACCUUCUGUGGAAUGCCUUUACUUCAUCUUCUGGCUGGCUGACAUGUUUUGGGGCCCUUACCUGACUCACUGGAUCGCUGGAUACUUGGAAGAGGGAGGUUGUACUUUUUAUAUUGUAUUCUCAGAUUCUAACAAUGUCAAGGAAAGUAGAGUUUGUUUAGGUUAACUUUUUCCCUGCCUCAUGCUUGCUUGUACAAAUAGUGCAGAAGGACAGCAGCCCUCAGACUCACACCAGUCCUUCCCUCCUCACAAUGGCAGACAUAGCACUCUACACUGGAGGCGUCAUGGGUGCCUUUGGGAGCUGGAGCUGCAGCCUCAGCCUGAGUCUUGUUUUGAGCCUUAGCCUUGGCCUUUGGAUGGCAGAAACUGAGACCCUCAGCAGUGUGGAGAUGAGCACAUUUCCUUAGCUUGGGCUGGGCAAUAUAGGCAAGUUGAUGGAGCUUGUGGCUGAUGCCUUUGGGGAUCUUGGGCUUGCCUUCCUAGGACUUCAGGAGGGCCUUGAUAGCCUGGGCAUGUGUACUUAUGGUCUUGGCUUUGCUGGCCUGUAUUUUCUUCAGGUCCUUCUUGUGUUUCUAGACAAAGUGGAAGUUUCUCAGGAACUCAGGGUCCACAACCUUAAAAGACCCGUAUCUUUGUGAUUGGGUUUUCUUGACACCAUUUCUGUGCCAUUUUUGGGACUGGUUGUGAGUGAUGUGUUCUUGGAUUUGGCCAUAUUUGCAUUGAAGCUCAUGGCUCCUGAAGGGACUGGGAUCAGAAGAGAAAAAGUAAAUAAAUAUUGUUGAUGAAUGAAUGAAUGAUUGAAUGAAUGAUGAGAAUAUGGUUCAGUAUUACACCACUAAUGUAAAUGAUUAGUUAAAUGAUUUAGCACAUUGAUUGCUUACCCUCUUUCUCCCAUUUGUUUUUUCCAGUGUCUAGAAAUCAUCUUCCCUUUUGCUAUCACUCUUCUCUUGUUAAUACAUGCUAUCCAGAAUGACUGUAUGACCGACUAAAAAUAGCUCCCCUGUUGCUGCUUCACUGUCAACCUGGACAAAUUCUUCUCUCCUGCUUCCAUCUUUUAGUGGGCAUUGAAGAUUGAGAAUUUCUUACCAUUUGAAGACUUUUUGCUAGGGAAGAGCUUAUUUUAAAAUCUCUUAAUAAUGCAUUAUAAGGAGAUGGCGAUUUUGCAGAAAUCAGAACAGAUUUUCUCUAUCCUUUGCAUAAUAGUUGUCAUUUAUUGAACUCCUGCAUGUCAGGUGAUUUCAUUUUUAUUUAUUUCACAGAUAUUUAUUGAGCACAUACAGAGGCCAAAUACUGCUUUGAGUGCUAAGUUUUUUUUUAGUGCAGUAAAAAAUGGACAAAAAUGUACACAUAUCACAUAUUUUGUAAUAUGGGUUGGUUUGAGUCAUGUAAUUGGAAUCAUGUAAUCCUUACAACUGCUCUUCAAGACAGGUUUUAUUUUCCCUGUUUUAUAAAGAAGAUAAAGAAACAUUAAGAAGAGAGCUUAAGUCACUCAUUCAUGAUCUCAUGGUUAGUGACUUUCAAACUGAGAUUUGGGUCUAGGACUAUCUUCCUCCAUAGCUAAUCCAUGUGUCUCCUUAGUAUGACAUUGUGGAGAAUCUCAGAACUUAUGGUCAGAAGACAUGGGGGGAAAAUCCCAGCUUAGUAACUCAACUCAGUAUGACUUUGGAUGUAUUUCGCAGACAUCUCUGAACCUCAGUUUCCUCAGCUAGGUAGUAAUAAGACUCUGACUUGAAGUGUUACUGUGAAGAGGAAAUAAAAUAUCCUAAAUGGAAACCCAUAGCCCGGUUCCUGGCACAAAAUAGACAUCCAGCAAAUGUUAGUUUCAUCUGAAUUACAAAUAAAAAGAAUAUUGUAGUUAUUUCCAGUGUCUGUGUGAUGAAUCAAAUUUCUCAGGUAAUCUCUCUCCUCAUAUUUUAUUUUCUGAAUAACACCUGGGUUUAUAAGUUGAAUUAAUGAAGGAACUCAGUGGGAGGGCAGGGAGAUGGUGAAAAUAUUUGCAGAGAUUGAUUCAGCUUCCUAGGCAAUGAAGCAGUGGUCUUCUAAAUGAUCUAUGUUCUUAAAGUGGCCCUUGGAUGGUCCCGAGGCUGCUGGGUGCUAAGUAACCCUCCACCCUGCUCCUUCCUCCACAGAGCUGUCACACCUUCUGGUCCUCUCUUGCUGAUUGUCUUCUCUGCCACAGCAUCUGCAGUUGAGAACACCCACCACUGAUAAUUAUGUAGUGCCUUUGCUGCUGCUACUGCCAUGGCCACUAUCACUGCAGAUCCCUGAAACAUUGAUGAAAAUGCGAAAACAUUGUUCUGGGAGUCAGGGUAGUGAUGUGACUAAUGGGAAAGUCACUCAGUGCCUCUAGAUUCCUGUUUCCUGAAAAAUAAGAUUAGAGGAGAUGAUUUCUCAGAUUUCUUCCAGUUCUCUAAUUCUACGAUUGUUCUCUUUCCAUAUCUUAUUCUUGCUUCUUCUGCAUUUUGUUCGUUCUCCUACCUGCUUUAAGUUCUGCUGAAAAAAGUGCUUUGCUGAGAAUGGCUGUGGGUAACAGCUCAUCUUUCUUCCCCCAGAGCAAGUGGACCAAUCUGUGUGUCAAAGAAACACCCUCCCUCCCUGGCCAGGCCCUCCAGAAUCACAUCAUUGUUUUUUAACGUGCCAUCUAUUGCUAGGUGUGUGGGGUUUGAUUAGCCACAAAGAGGUUCUUUUUUGGGUGUUGAAUAAUUUUCUCAAGUUUUUUUGAGGCUUAAGGGUUCUAUAAGAUUACUGUCUAGAAGGAUAUGGCUUCACUAUAAUGACAAUAAUAGACAAAAUACCUUUCAAAGUGUUUUUCAUGUAUUUCAUUCUACUUUACAAAAUGAAAAGUUACUUGUAGAAAAAAAAGGAUAACAUGAUACAUUCAUUCUCUACAGAACUGCAAAGGCAUUUAUCUCAAGCUUCCACAGAAAAAUUUUAAAACUGUUAGUGGGAUCCUCUUACUCCCUGAAGUUGUUAACUCAGCCCACAAACUGUACUCAACUGAAUUUUUAAAAUGCCUAUAAAAGUUUUUUAAAAAUUGACCAUAUGAGACAUUUAAAGUGUGAUCUUAUUUAUGAUGUAUUAUCUAUUUUUUCAUCACAUAUUAGCAGAAUUUCAUUUUUUUUUUUUAGAUUAGCAUGUUAAAUGCACACAAACAGAAAUAGGUAAUAAAGGCCAGAGUGUCUGUCUUCUGUGGUAAGCAUAUCAAAGUUGACAAAAGGAUCUCGACUGUCAAGGAUCAUUUAAAACCAAUGAAUUAAAAAUCAGGAGGUCAGGGAGAGCCGUGCAGAGAUGAUAAGGCUCUCUGUAUUUGUCUUCACAAGGGAAGUAUUAAACCAGAGUGAUUUUCUUCUUCAUUCUCUACUCCCCCCCUCCACCAGGGAGAAAUGUGAAACUCAAUUUUACCCUUGGUUGAGAAGGUGCUAAUUUGUCUGACAAGUUGUUGGAAUCUGAGGAUGCUCAAGGUAUCCUUGAUGUCUCAAACCUUCAUGCUGAGUGAAGCAUGCCUCUAAUGUGUCAAUGUUUAGGAGGUAUUCUAUAUCUCAUUAGGUUAGAACAAUAUAAACCACAUGCAUGCAAAUGGGGCAGGAACUUGUCCCCUGUCAAAGGGAAAACCUUCAACUUUUUAUAAUCAAGGCAUUUUUUGAAUCACCCUCAUUCAAGUAAAUAUUUAACCAGAAAUUAAGUAUUCUUUUAUAUCCUAGAGGAUUUAAAUGAACUUUCUCUCCCAUUUGCUGCCUGUUUCUUGAGAGGCGUGAUCUUCAAAUCUUUCCCUUUAUUGAUUACAGUAUCAGUUAGUAUUUAUCAAGAAGGCUCCUAAGAGAGAUGGCAAUGUAAAUAUGAAAACUUUAAUUCCUUUUCUUUUUAAUUGUGUAUUCAUUGAUUUUUUUUCAUACACUUUCUAAAGCCAAGAAUUAGCUAUGUGAGUGACCUUUGCAUGUUAACUAAAUCCUGGUUGGUAAACUGAUUCAUUAUUAAGAGAAAAGUCCUGUUGGUGAAAGAGACUUUUCCUAGCACAUAAUUCACCCAACAUUGCAUGGCUGAUGAUAAUAGCUAACACUCACAUAACUCUUAUUAUGGGCUAGGCACUUUUCUAAGUGUUUUUACUCAUAUUAACUCAAGGAAUCCUCAUAAUAACCUGUGAGGUGGGUAUUAUUAUUUUAGCUUUACAGAAGUUGAAAAGCAAUGGCAAAAAUUGCCUAGCUAUAACAUAAUGGAGUCAAAUUCAAACUCACACUGUCUGGCUUCAGGGUCCAGCUCCUAACUCCUAUGCGAGACUGCUUUUUCUCAUAUGUAGAACUCCAUUCAGGAGUGAUAAAGUAUGCUGGAUAAGACUGCCAUUUUGCAGUGAAGGGAAAAUGCCACUGGAAUCAAUAAAACCUUCCACAGGAUCUGCUUAUAGCUGUUUUUCAUUAUUUGUUUGUUUGUUUAUUUAUUUAUGAGAGGGAGCAUGCACAUGUGAAUGGGAGAGGGAUAGAGGGAGAGGGAGAGAGAGAAUAUUAAGCAGCCUCUAUGCCCAGCAUGGAGCCUGGUCUUACAACCCACAACCGUGAGAUCAUGACCUGAGCUGAAAUCAAGAGUCAGGCACUUAACCAGCUGUACCACCAGGUACCCAUGUAGCUGUUUUUUUUAAAGGAUAAUAUUUUGAAAUAAUUUUUAAUAUUUGCAAUAACAUUUAACAUUUACUUGUUACUUUUUAACCAGCAGUGUAUAUUAUAUAAAGAUUGAGCUCCUGAAACACUCCUAGCAUAAGAGCUAUUAUUUAUUGAGUCUCUACUAUGUGUGAGACAUUUUACAUUCAUCUUACCUUCAAAAUAAUUUAUGUGGGUAUUAUUUUUUAUAUUUUGCGUAGAAGAAUAUGAGAUUUAGGGAGGUUAAGUAAUAUGCCCAAGGCUCCAUGUUAUACAAAGUGCUGGCUGUUUCUCAGUAUUCACUGUUUACUACUUCAUCAGUAAUAAACCUUCCUGACUAUUAGCUAUUAUAAGAAUACCUGAGGGGCAUCUGGGUGGCUCAGUCGGUUAAGCAUCCAACUUUGGCUCAGGUCAUGAUCUUGCGGUUCGUGAGUUUGAGCCCUACUGCUGAUAGCUCAGAGCCUGGAUCCUGCUUUGGAUUCUGAGUCUCCCUCUCUCUUUGCUCCUCCACUACUAAUGCUCUGUCUGUCUGUUUCUCUCUCUCUAAAAAACAAAUAAACAUCAAAAAAAGAAUGCCUGGAAUGAAGACUACUUUUAAGUAUUCCUUGCAGCUAGGUGUUACCAUGAGAUUAAGUUCUGGCCAAUAAGAUGUAGGCAAAUAUGUGUGACUUCUGAAAAGUGUCCUUAAAAGUGAGUGUGUAUCUUUACCCUACACUCCUGCCCCCUCUUCUUCUCUCUGAUGGCAGGAACAUAGAUAUGAUGGAUGGUGCUCCAACAGCCAUUUUAGGCUGUGAGGAGCAAUCAUUGCUAAGAACUGAAAAAAUCUUGACAGCGUCGAUUCUACCUAGGACCACUAGUACAUCAGUGUUUCUCAGACUCUCAUGUGCAUUCAGAUCACCUAGAGGUGUUAUUAAAAUGUAGAUUCUGAUGCAAUAGGUCUGGGGUGGGGUCUCAGAAUUUGCAUUUCAUUUUUUUAAAAUUAAGUUUUCAUUUUAAUUCUGGUAUCGUUAGCAUACAGUGUUAUAUUAGUUUGGGUGUACGAUAUAAUGAUUCAGCAAUUCCGUAUAUCACUCAGUGCUCAUCGUGACAUGUGUACUCCUUAAUCACCAUCACCUGUCUAACCCGUCCCCCCCCCCCCGCCCCCACCUACCCUGUGGUGACCAUCAGUUUGUUCUCUAUAGUUAAGAGUUUGUUUCUUGGUGUGGUGCCCUCUUUAUCUGUCUCUUUUUCCUUUGCUUGUUUGUUUUGUAUCUUAAAUUUCACAUAUGAGUGAAGUCAUAUGGUAUUUAUCUUUCUCUGACUUAUUUCACUUAGCAUUAUACUCUCUAACUCCAUCCAUGUUGUUGCAAAUGGCAAGAUUUCAUUAUUCUUUAUGGCUGAAUAAUAUUCCAUUGUAUAUAUUUAAAAAUAAAAAUAAAUAUAUAUAUACAUGUAUAUAAAUAUAUACAUACAUGUCACAUCUUCUUUAUCCAUUCAUCUAUGGAUGGACACUUGGGCUGCUUCCAAAUAAUGCUGUUAUAAAUAAUGGUUGUAAAUAAUGAUGCUAUAAACACAGGGAUACAUAUGUUCCUUUGAAUUCAGAAUUUGCACUUCUAAUAAGAUUCUAGGUGAUGCUAAUGGUGCUUGCUGGUCCAUGGGCCACACUUUGAUUAGUAAGGUAAUAAGAGAUAGCAUCAGAAUUAGUACCUAGGGUUUUCAGAUACCAAAGCCCAUGCUCUUUUCUUUAUGUCUGGCAGCCUCCUUUAACAUUUUUGCUUUUGUAGUUCCUCCUUAUGGCCAAACUAUCAUGACCAUAGUAUAAACAUAUUAAUGCCUUAAUGACCUGUCUCCUUGGCAACUUCAGGAUAAAAUGUAGGUUCUCCAUGUAGAACAUAAUUGCUUGAUUCAGGUGAGGUUGGCAUGGAGUGAAAACUAAAGGGAAGGUGGCAGGGUUCAUGUACUAAUUUCAGUUUAUUCAGUGAUUCAGUUGAGCAUGUAGUUUAUUGACUUAUGGUUGAUUUUGAAGAGGACUAAAUGUCAUAUUGAGUUGACAGGAACAGUAAGAUCAUAGAAGAAAUCAGAGGUGCUUACCCUUGAUUGCAAAUUAGACUCUGCAGGAGAAUAUCUUAGAACUUCUGUUGCCCAGGCUGGAGCCCAGGCCAGACAGAACAGGGUCUCUGGGGUGGAUACCAGGCAUUAGUCUUUUCAGAUCUCUCCAGGUAAUUUCACUGUGUAGCUACAUUUACAAACCACCGACCUAAAUGGAAGUUUUCAUGAAAAACUCUAUACCUAUUUCAAAAAGCCUCAGCCAUUAAAAUAAAUAUCACAUGGUGUUUCUUGGAGUUUCUUUUGUCUGAAUCAAGAGUUAUAACAUAAGGGGUACCUGGGUGGCUCAGUUGGCUGAGCGUCUGAUUUCAGCUCAGGUCACGAUCUCAUGGUUUGUGAGUUUGAGCUCCACUUCGGGGGGCUGUGCUGACAGCUCAGAGCCUGGAAUCUCACAGCUCAGAGCCUGUAUCUCCCUCUCUCUCUGCCCCUCCCCCGCUCAUUCUCUCUCUCUCUCUCUCUCUCUCUCUCUCUCUCUCUCAAAAAUAAAUAAAAAUUUAAAAAAAGAGUUACAACAUAAUUACUUGAAUAUCUUAGUGCCUGAAGUGUAUAUUUACUAUGAAAGCAUAAGAAAUCCAUUGUUAAGGUAGUCACUAAGUUCAGGAGAUCUUCUAUAAUGAUCUAAAAGAUUCAGUAUAAACCAGGAGCAUCUCCUCAAACUUCAAUAGUUAUUCAAACCACUAUUCCUGAAAAAUUUGCAGUCCUUAUAUAUAUGCAGAGCACAUUUUUAUGUACAGGUACUCAGUAUUUUUCUUUUGCCCCUCCGGGUGCCUCCAUAACCCUUCUUUGCCCUGUGACUUAUACGGACUACUUCUGUGGUGCCCAUGCCCUCUGUCUUCUGGUUGGCUUAGGCCAAUGGGAAAUCCCACCCACCCACCCUAAGAUUUAAAGGAAAUUAAGACAUUUAUUCUCAUGGCUCCCUUCAAGGUUUUCUCACACUGGCUGUUUUCUUCCACUGAAGGUCAUUGCUGACUUCAAGGCCACCUUCUCUACUGAUUCUCUCACAUUUUGGGUCUCUCCUCUCCCUCUCCUCAAGCCUGUAAGCUGAGGGGAGGAAAGACUCCAUUACUACUGGUCCCAGAUUCCUGCAUCAUUCCUUGGGCUCCCUCUGUACUGCAUCCACAAGUUUGUAUAGUCUCUAUGAAAACAAACCCUCCUCAAAUCAACCCAUUAUGACUGUGCUGUUUGCUUCAUUGGACCCUGGACUGAUCCAGUGCUUGACAAACACUGAAGUGAGAAAAUCUGUCCUGAGAUCAUACCAGUGACAGAGACAAUGACUGGAAGACACUGGGUGCCAUGUCAUUAUAGUAUACACUAGAAUCCAGGUCUAAUGUGGAAAGUGUGUGCAACAGUUUUGAAUGGCAUGUUUGCCUCGGUUUUCACAGGUGAAUUGCAGGUUAAAUUCCGUAGCCUAUUUGCCAUUAUAUCAUUUAAUAAUAUUAAUUUAAGAAUGCCAUGAGAAUCAAAAUAUGCAUAGCAUCUUUAUUUAUUACUGCUCUCAGUUACAGUUUCGUCUGCGGUAUUUGCUGUUCUCCGUAUUUGCUCUGUGUUUUUCUCUUAGCUCACCCUCUUACCUCCUCUAAGAAUUCACAGUUUAGAUCGAAUGUUGUCUCUGCCAUGAAGUUUUCGCUGAUUUUUCCCAUCUGUUCUAUGAAAUCUAGCCCCUCAUCUCUAUGUCUUGUGGCACUUUCGACUUUACUUUGUAUCUCACACUCACCCCUUGAUCUUUGGCUGUCCUUGACCAAGCAACUGUAUUUUCCUCUCUUUUGUUUUUCUUAUCUAUAAAGUAAGGAUAACAAUAGUGCCUACCUAGGUGAAUGGUUAGGCUUGUGUUAGAUAAAGUAGGUAAGGCAUUUCAAUUAGUGUCUGGCACAUAAUGAGCAAUAAAUAUUAGCUGUUUUAUUAUAAUUAUACCGUUGUAAUGAAACUAUUUGGCACGUGCUAUUUUUCUGCAAUAUAGUUAAGGGACAGCGACAGAUUCACCUUUGUAUUCCCGGCACCAAGCAAAGAGGCAGACACAGAGUUGGUGGGUGGGUAGUUGGUUAGUUCAUGCAUGUGUUCAGCUAAUGAAAAGAAGGCAAUAUGGUACAGUGGGUAAGCUCAGGCUUAGAGAUAUAUUUCCUGGGUUGGAACUCUAGUUCUGUUUGUGUAGCUAUGAGCAAAGUAUUUAAUCUCAUUUUGCCUCAGCCAUCUCACCCAUGAAUGAGAUAAUAUAAUUCUACCUCAUAGGAUUCUUAAGGUUAAAUGAGAUAAUUAUGUAAAUCACCUAACACCAUGUCUAGAAUGUUGUAAGCAUUCAAGUAAAUAAUAAUAUUAUUUUAAAAAAUCAUAAGAUUAGAACAAAAGCAGUCCAGGGAGAAAAUUACAUAUGAAACAAAAAUGCUGUGGUUUAAUGAUUAUUGUAUUAAAGGCAUAACACAUUGAAAAACUUACAGUGAAAAAAUAUAUUCCUGAUAGAUAAGGAAAGCAUUUUGAGGUUGAGAGUUAUGUCAGGACAGGGUAUCCUUGUAUAAAACUGCUCUAGUGAUGUGAAAAAGAUUCAUACAGUCUAUCUCUUGCCAAAGGGUAUGUCAAAUAUGAGAUUUACACUUCCUAAGUGUUGUGGAUUGUGAUACAUGCCAUUUAUUUGCGUGUCAGUAACUCUAUAUUCAUUCCUAUAGAGGACCCAUUCACUUCUCGCUGACCUCCCCUUUCCACUCUGUACAUUCCUCAUUACCUACCAGAUGUGUACUCUGAUGUAUGGCCAAAAAUCUAGGUGAAUCAAGAGUGGCGGUAUAGAAUAGACAGCAGCCGCGUCUUGCAGUGAUUCAUUCUAAUUACACCAAAAUCUAACUAAUGGAGAAGUCAGUGCAGUUGGAAGAAGAGGAAUGUGGCUUCUCUUUCUGCCUGUUCUUUUCCAGAGACUGACCCUAGUGAACUGUUGGAACUUGAUAGCCAUAAUCAAUAGCUUGUAAAACAAUAAGGUCAGCAUUGUAAAGAUUCAGAUUUUCUGCUUCCAAAUGUAAUGGGAACAAGACUGGUGUGCUGAGCCAUUGAGGUGAGUCUGACCUUAGCUGACUGACUGAUAAAAGACCCCGAGCAGAGGAAGAGAUAAAAGAAUAACACGGGGGAAGAUGUAGUUGUAAAUAUAAUAUCAGCACAAUCCUUGUUUUUACUCUGGGAACAUGCUGAAUUGUUAUUUUGCUAUUAUAUUAAAGGUAGAAAAUCCCAGCUCUGGUAAAAAUAGCGGGUCAUUUAAGAAGGCUCAGAAAUGGGGCACCUAGAUAUUAUGUGUGACAUCUAGUUAAGGUGCCUCCAUCAGUAUGCUUCAAUUCAAGUUAUAUAUUUGAGUUAAUUCCAUUAAUUCACUUGCAUUUCCUAAGUACUAAGUUUACCCAACAUUAUUUUUUAAAUACCAGGGAUUAGUAUUGUUUAUCUCAGAAUUCUGACUGGAACUGGUAGUGGUUCAGAGGUCAGAUGUUUCUACAUUUAAAAUGCAUACUGAAGGAGUAUUAUAGGUCUGCAUAUUUCUGAAUCAGUCUGCUCUUGAUAUAGUAGGUAUUUCCGCAAAACACUUUAGAAUUUGAUGACAAAAUGUGGAGGAAAGAAAUUGCCUUGUGGGCUAAGUAAAUGCUUGUCUCCAAGUUAAGAAGUUGUUUCAAUCACAGGGCAGAUACAUACACAUAUGAGCUGAGAUUUGAAGUUCUGCACUAGCUACCAUCAGAAAAAAAGAAAGAAUUUUCUUAUAUUAAAAUAUCUUUAAAAGUUUUCUGAAAAUGUGUCAGUGGGUUAGAAAGAUGAUCAAAUAACCACCACCAGUUUUUCCCUUGGUGAUUUGUGAGCAGUUAGGGGCACCUGGGUGGCUCAGUUGGUUAAGCAUCUGACUUUGGCUCAGGUCAUGAUCUCGCGGUU